GGGAAUGUGGUGAAAUUGGUAGACACGACGGACUUAAAAUCCGUUGCCGGUUAUACGGCGUGAGGGUUCAAGUCCCUCCGUUCCCA
rnacentral:tRNA from 1 species